rnacentral:rRNA from 1 species
GAUGAACGCUGGCGGCGUGCUUAACACAUGCAAGUCGAGCGAAGGAUAGUAGAGAGCAUGCUCAAAGCUAAACUUAGCGGCGGACGGGUGAGUAACGUGUGGGCAACCUGCCUCAUACAGGGGGAUAAUCAUGUGAAAACGUGACUAAUACCGCAUAAUGUUAUGUUCAGGCAUCUGAAUAUAAAGGAAGGAGAAAUCCGGUAUGAGAUGGGCCCGCAUCUGAUUAGCUAGUUGGUGAGAUAACAGCCCACCAAGGCGACGAUCAGUAGCCGACCUGAGAGGGUGAACGGCCACAUUGGGACUGAGACACGGCCCAA